rnacentral:rRNA from 1 species
UACGUAGGGGGCAAGCGUUGUCCGGAAUCAUUGGGCGUAAAGAGCGUGUAGGCGGCUCGAUAAGUCUGCUGUGAAAGUCCGGGGCUCAACCCUGGAAGGCCGGUGGAAACUGUCGGGCUAGAGUCCGGAAGAGGCGAGUGGAAUUCCCGGUGUAGCGGUGAAAUGCGCAGAUAUCGGGAGGAACACCAAUGGCGAAGGCAGCUCGCUGGGACGGUACUGACGCUGAGACGCGAAAGCGUGGGGAGCAAACAGG